GGGAGUCCAGCCAAGGUCCUUCAAAGAGGCCUGGAGGAGAGCUGGACAGGCUGGGCGGGUCCUCUGCAGACCAGCUUGCUGAGGACCAAGGAGGGUCACUGCCCGCCGACAGCACGGAGACCUCCCUGUGGCUCAGGCCCGAGCCGCCAUCAAGAAGGGUGGAGGAGACUGCUCAACAGGGUCUCUGAGCUCACCUCCUCUAUGCCCUAUAUUGGGAGUGACACGCACCAAGCUCUAAAAUGCUUGCAAAGCAACAUACAGGGCCUUCUCUCCCAAUAGAACCGAACAGCGCUAGUAGCCAGCAAGUCUCUUGGGAACAUUUCCACUCUCCCAAUCAAUGCAGGAGCAAUAGAAGAAACCGAAAAAGCAAUAAUUUGAGAGCCAGGUAAUAUUCUAGCUCUGCGGAAUAUACCCCUGAACAGGCAAACACCUCUGUCAUCAUGGAGCUGACAGUCUAAUGGAGAGAGAUGAAGAAGAAAUAAUAUUAGAACAUAUGAGGUAAGGAGUACUAUGGGAAAAAUUGAGGAGGAUAAAAUCGGUUGGGAAAAUAAGAUGGUAA